rnacentral:rRNA from 1 species
UACGUAGGGCGCAAGCGUUAUCCGGAAUUAUUGGGCGUAAAGAGCUCGUAGGCGGUUUGUCGCGUCUGCCGUGAAAGUCCGGGGCUCAACUCCGGAUCUGCGGUGGGUACGGGCAGACUAGAGUGAUGUAGGGGAGACUGGAAUUCCUGGUGUAGCGGUGAAAUGCGCAGAUAUCAGGAGGAACACCGAUGGCGAAGGCAGGUCUCUGGGCAUUAACUGACGCUGAGGAGCGAAAGCUAGGGGAGCGAAUGG